rnacentral:rRNA from 1 species
GNAGGNGGAAACAAGAACAAGGAAGCUUGCUCCUUUGACGUUAGCGGCGGACGGGUGAGUAACACGUGGGUAACCUACCUAUAAGACUGGGAUAACUUCGGGAAACCGGAGCUAAUACCGGAUAAUAUUUCGAACCGCAUGGUUCGAUAGUGAAAGAUGGUUUUGCUAUCACUUAUAGAUGGACCCGCGCCGUAUUAGCUAGUUGGUAAGGUAACGGCUUACCAAGGCGACGAUACGUAGCCGACCUGAGAGGGUGAUCGGCCACACUGGAACUGAGACACGGUCCAGACUCCUACGGGAGGCAGCAGUAGGGAAUCUUCCGCAAUGGGCGAAAGCCUGACGGAGCAACGCCGCGUGAGUGAUGAAGGUCUUCGGAUCGUAAAACUCUGUUAUUAGGGAAGAACAUACGUGUAAGUAACUAUGCACGUCUUGACGGUACCUAAUCAGAAAGCCACGGCUAACUACGUGCCAGCAGCCGCGGUAAUACGUAGGUGGCAAGCGUUAUCCGGAAUUAUUGGGCGUAAAGCGCGCGUAGGCGGUUUUUUAAGUCUGAUGUGAAAGCCCACGGCUCAACCGUGGAGGGUCAUUGGAAACUGGAAAACUUGAGUGCAGAAGAGGAAAGUGGAAUUCCAUGUGUAGCGGUGAAAUGCGCAGAGAUAUGGAGGAACACCAGUGGCGAAGGCGACUUUCUGGUCUGUAACUGACGCUGAUGUGCGAAAGCGUGGGGAUCAAACAGGAUUAGAUACCCUGGUAGUCCACGCCGUAAACGAUGAGUGCUAAGUGUUAGGGGGUUUCCGCCCCUUAGUGCUGCAGCUAACGCAUUAAGCACUCCGCCUGGGGAGUACGACCGCAAGGUUGAAACUCAAAGGAAUUGACGGGGACCCGCACAAGCGGUGGAGCAUGUGGUUUAAUUCGAAGCAACGCGAAGAACCUUACCAAAUCUUGACAUCCUUUGACAACUCUAGAGAUAGAGCCUUCCCCUUCGGGGGACAAAGUGACAGGUGGUGCAUGGUUGUCGUCAGCUCGUGUCGUGAGAUGUUGGGUUAAGUCCCGCAACGAGCGCAACCCUUAAGCUUAGUUGCCAUCAUUAAGUUGGGCACUCUAAGUUGACUGCCGGUGACAAACCGGAGGAAGGUGGGGAUGACGUCAAAUCAUCAUGCCCCUUAUGAUUUGGGCUACACACGUGCUACAAUGGACAAUACAAAGGGCAGCGAAACCGCGAGGUCAAGCAAAUCCCAUAAAGUUGUUCUCAGUUCGGAUUGUAGUCUGCAACUCGACUACAUGAAGCUGGAAUCGCUAGUAAUCGUAGAUCAGCAUGCUACGGUGAAUACGUUCCCGGGUCUUGUACACACCGCCCGUCACACCACGAGAGUUUGUAACACCCGAAGCCGGUGGAGUAACCAUUUGGAGCUAGCCGUNNAAANGGGG